AGAAAGAAGAGAAGGGAUGAUGGCUUGAUAGUGUUCCCCUACUCUGAUUUUUGGGUUCUCAUUUGUCUUUUUCUUUGCUUCUUCUCUUUUUCUUCC
rnacentral:ribozyme from 13 species